CCUGUAACCGCCUCGUCACCGUUUUGGCUCGACGGCCACGGCCACGGCCACGACUAUGAGCCCGCCGUCGUCUCCACCGCGGGGAGCCACGCCAGAGGGAGCAGCCGCCUCCUUGGCCGGAAGGAGGGUUCCGGCCGUCGGUUUCGUCGCCACACGCGUGCCGAAGGGCGACGCUGCAGAGGGCCAGUAGAGGGCCGUUGCCUCUGGCGCCGCUGAUCUGCGCGAAUGCGAGCCGAGGGCUGCAUCGUUCGCCAGGGAGCGUCGCCGGCCUCGGUCUUCUGCGCCGCGACGCGGUUGGAGGCCGUCCUCAUGGGCGCCGAGCCUGCCAUCUGUGACUUGUACAGUGGGAGGGCGUGAAGCCAAGCACAACGGCGGGGCCCAUGGCCACGGCACGCCGAGAGGAGCACCGUCGGGCAAAGGGCCACUGCGUGCUCCGCGCUGGGAGCCGCAUACGUCACUGAGAAGGCGUCGCCGCGGUCGCGCGUUAGGCGGCCGUUGGCGGCUUCGCGCCUAGGCCGCGCCGCCUCGUUACCGCAGGACGCGAAGCCGGUGAUUCCGGUCUCCCUGUCCAGCGCGUGCCGGGGCCAGACGAAGCUGAUGUCCAGCGAUGGCGUCCUGGAUGCAAGAUGGCGACGAGCGCCACCACCAGUCCAGUGACGAUGGUAAUGAAUGCACGGUGCGAGGCUGCCGCUUGGAAGCACUUCCGCCGGGCUGAGGGCCGCCGAGGUAGCGGGCGCCACCACGCCUAGCCGAGGGCUGAGGCCGUCCAACUAGCGAGCGAUGCCGUAGCCGGGGAACGCCGCACCGAUGGAGUCGCUCUGCCGGGAGCGUGCUGAUAACGUGUUAGAAAGGGAAACGAGAGACAAUCGAGAGAGCCUUGUAACAGAUGUAAAAGUAAAUCCUUGUUCUCAUUGAUGAUGGGUUACACAUAUAUAUAACCCCCGAAGGGGUGUCUCC